GGUACUGUCGUUUAUGGAGGUAGACAAAUCUCCAGGGCCUGUUUAGAUAUAUCCAAGGACAUUGUGGAGAGAGGAAAUUGCGGGAGCCCUAGUUGAUAUUUACGAGUCGUCUUUAAAUACAGGAGAGGUGCCGGAAGACUGGAGGGUGGCAGAUGUUGUGCCUUUAUUCAAGAAGGGCUGCAGGAAAAAUGUUGGGAACUAUACACCGUUGAGCUUAACAUCUGUAGUUGGAAAGUUACUAGAGGGUAUUCUGAGGGGUAAGAUGUACAGACAUCGAGCCGAAUAAGGGCUGAUUAGGGAUAGUCAGCAUGGUUUUGUACGUGGGAAGUCGUGUCUCACAAAUCUGAUUGAGUUUUUUGAAGUUGUGACCAAAAGGUCGAUGAGGACAGCUGUAGAUGUUGUGUACAUGGACUUCAGUCAGGCAUUUGAUAAGGUUCUGCAUGGCAGGCUGCUCUGAAAGGUUAGAUUGCAUGGGAUCCAAGGAGAGAUAGCUGAAUGGAUAGAACAUUGGCUUCCUGAAGGGAAGCAGAGGGUGAUGGUGGAAGGUUGCAUCUUGGACUGGAAGCCUGUGAAUAGUGGUGUGCCUCAGGGUUCGGUGCUGGGCCCGUUACUUUGUCAUCUACAUCAAUGGUUUGGAAGAGAACAUACUGGGCAAGAUUAGUAAGUUUGCAAAUUAUACAAAAGUGGGCUGUAUUGCAGAUAGUGAAGAUGGUUGUGAAAGAUUGCAGCAGGAUCUGGGUCGCUUGGCCUGGUGUGCGGAGGAAUGGUUGAUGGAAUUUAAUACAGUGAAAUGUGAGGUGUUGCAUUUUAGGAAGUCUAACCUAGGCAGGACCGACACAGUGUCUUGGGGCUCUGGGGAGUGUUGUAGAGCAGAGAGAUCCAGGAGUGCAGAUGCAUGGUUGCUUGAAGGUGCAGUCGCAGAUAGAUAGGGUGGUCAAAAAGGCUUAUGGCACAUUCGCCAUCAGUCAGAGUAUUGAGUAUAGAAGUUGGGAGGUGGUUGCAGUUGUAUAGGAAGUCGGUAAGGCUGCAUUUAGAGUAUUGUGUUCAGUUCUGGGCAAAGAUCGUAGAGGGACAAGAUAGACCACUCCUCGAAAAACGCGUAGUAUGACGUGUGUGACCGUCGACGCCAUAUUGUUAAGCAUUUAUUGGGCUGUAAUGGCGUCCUCAGCUAAAUCUACAUCUCACUGCUCCGCUAUCAACUGUUCUAAUCGUAAAUCUAAACGACCAGAGCUGUCAUUCUUUAGGUUCCCCAAUAAAAAAGAAAGAUGUCAACAGUGGGUCCAGAAUACUCAUCGACAAGAUCUCCUGCACCGAACUGCAGAGUAUUUGUCAAAUAACUGCCGUCUUAUGUACAUUGUGUGAAAUUGUGAUUUGUUAACUGCACAAAACUAAUGCAAAUGGCGAUACAUGCCUGCAUUUGGCCCAUACCCCUCUAAACCUGUCCUAACCAUCAAAUAACCUAACAGAACUGUCAUGAGGAAAGAUUUAAAAGACUAGGCUUGUAUUCACUGGAGUUUAGAAGGAUGAGGGGGGAUCUUAUCAUAUUGUUUACAGUGUACUAUGUUUACAGAUUCUGUUGUGCUGCUGAAAGUAAGAAUUUAAUUGUUCUAUCUGGGACAAGCUAGAUGCAGGAAAAUUGUUCUACAUGACAAUAAAACCCUCUUGUUAGCUGCAAGGGGAUCUUAUAGAAACAUCUAAAUGAAUAAAAGGACUGAACAAGCUAGAUACAGGAAAAAUGUUCCCAAUGUUGGGCGAGUCCAGAACCAGGGGCCACAGUCUUGGAACAAAGGGGAGGCCAUUUAAGACUGAGGUGAGAACAAACUUUUUCACCCAGAGAGUUGUGAAUUUGUGGAAUUCCCUGCCACAGAGGGCAGUGGAGGCCAAAUCACUGGGUGGAUUUAAGAGAGAGUUAGAUAGACCUCUAGGGGCUAGUGGAAUCAAUGGGUAUGGGGAGAAGGCAGGCAUGGGUUAUCGAUUGGGGCUGAUCAGCCAUGAUCACAAUGAAUGGCGGUGUUGGGUCGAAGUGCCAAAUGGCCUCCUCCUGCACCUAUUUUCUAUAUUUCUAAAACACUCAUCCAGCAAUCCUCGAGCCCACCAGCUCAUCCCGUAGUCAAUUCAUCAGCUUUUCCAUAAGAACUUCCAUCAGUUCUUGCAAAAGAAUGACAAUCAGCCAAUCUCGAUUACCCUCAGCCCAUCAAGCAGUCCCUUAAUUCGCACAGAAGUCUGAACUAUUGAAUGCUCACUGCAUCUCUUUCCAUGUCAGCAAGUUAAUAUCCAGCUGCAUAUGAA